UCGGCUUAGAGUUUGAUCAUGGCUCAGAUUGAACGCUGGCGGCAGGCUUAACACAUGCAAGUCGAACGGUAAAGUAGCUUGCUACUUACGAGUGGCGGACGGGUGAGUAACGUAUGGGAAUUUACCGAAUGGAGGGGGACAACAGUUGGAAACGGCUGCUAAUACCGUACAACGUGAAAAAAAAAGAUUCGUUGCCAUUUGAUGAGCCCAUAUGAGAUUAGCUAGUUGGUGUGGUAAUGGCUCACCAAGGCGACGAUCUCUAGCUGGUUUGAGAGGAUGACCAGCCACACUGGGACUGAGACACGGCCCAGACUCCUACGGGAGGCAGCAGUGGGGAAUAUUGCACAAUGGGGGGAACCCUGAUGCAGCCAUGCCGCGUGUAUGAAGAAGGCCUUAGGGUUGUAAAGUACUUUCGUGGAGGAGGAAGGGUUUACGUAAUCGUGGACAUUGACGUUACUCCAAGAAGAAGCACCGGCUAACUCCGUGCCAGCAGCCGCGGUAAUACGGAGGGUGCGAGCGUUAAUCGGAAUGACUGGGCGUAAAGGGCAUGUAGGCGGAUGAUUAAGUUAGAUGUGAAAUCCCUGGGCUUAACCUAGGAUUGCAUUUAAACUGGUUAU
rnacentral:rRNA from 1 species